GACGAACGCUGGCGGCGUGCUUAACACAUGCAAGUCGAACGGUGAAGCCCUUCGGGGUGGAUCAGUGGCGAACGGGUGAGUAACACGUGAGCAACCUGCCCCUGGCUCUGGGACAACCACUGGAAACGGUGGCUAAUACCGGAUACGACCCGCCUCGGCAUCGAGUGUGGGUGGAAAGUUUUUCGGCUGGGGAUGGGCUCGCGGCCUAUCAGCUUGUUGGUGAGGUGAGGGCUCACCAAGGCGACGACGGGUAGCCGGCCUGAGAGGGCGACCGGCCACACUGGGACUGAGACACGGCCCAGACUCCUACGGGAGGCAGCAGUGGGGAAUAUUGCACAAUGGGCGAAAGCCUGAUGCAGCGACGCCGCGUGAGGGAUGACGGCCUUCGGGUUGUAAACCUCUUUCAGCUCCGAAGAAGCGAAAGUGACGGUAGGAGCAGAAGAAGCACCGGCUAACUACGUG
rnacentral:rRNA from 1 species